rnacentral:lncRNA from 1 species
CAGCAGUGAGUUUAUUUGCCAGAAAUAUCAAAUGCUAACGAACAGCUUGCUGUAGUCCUGGCCUUGGCUUCCAUCAUUAACCUGAUUAGACCAGAAUUAUCUGCAAUGUUCUUGGAUGUUCUUUCACUGGUAUUAGAAGGUCGUUAAACAAUGGGCAUGUAUUUUGCAAGCUCCACUGGGAUUGCUUUUCAUUUCAAGCAGGAGAAAUAUUUAUAAAGAAACUUCAUGCAGAGAGGACUGGCUAAAUAAGAGAGACUGAACAGCAGCAGACCUUUCAAGAGGUCUCAGAAGACCCUACUACAUUGUAUAUCUACAGUUAAGACAGAGAAUUGUGUUCAAAUGAAGAAAGUCCAAAAGACUGAGAAUGGCAUCACUGGAAAGGCCAUGGGGAAUACACCAGAGCUGGAUGCUCGAGAAGAGAA